UUAAAUUGAAGAGUUUGAUCAUGGCUCAGAUUGAACGCUGGCGGCAGGCCUAACACAUGCAAGUCGAACGGUAACAGAAAGCAGCUUGCUGCUUUGCU
rnacentral:rRNA from 2 species